rnacentral:rRNA from 1 species
AGUGAACGCUGGCGGUAGGCCUAACACAUGCAAGUCGAACGGCAGCACAGUAAGAGCUUGCUCUUACGGGUGGCGAGUGGCGGACGGGUGAGGAAUACAUCGGAAUCUACUUUUUCGUGGGGGAUAACGUAGGGAAACUUACGCUAAUACCGCAUACGACCUACGGGUGAAAGCAGGGGAUCUUCGGACCUUGCGCGAUUGAAUGAGCCGAUGUCGGAUUAGCUAGUUGGCGGGGUAAAGGCCCACCAAGGCGACGAUCCGUAGCUGGUCUGAGAGGAUGAUCAGCCACACUGGAACUGAGACACGGUCCAGACUCCUACGGGAGGCAGCAGUGGGGAAUAUUGGACAAUGGGCGCAAGCCUGGUCCAGCCAUACCGCGUGGGUGAAGAAGGCCUUCGGGUUGUAAAGCCCUUUUGUUGGGAAAGAAAAGCAGCAGGCUAAUACCCCGCUGUUCUGACGGUACCCAAAGAAUAAGCACCGGCUAACUUCGUG